GGGGAAUUUUGCGCAAUGGACGAAAGUCUGACGCAGCGACGCCGCGUGAGUGAAGAAGGCCUUCGGGUUGUAAAGCUCUGUCGAACGGGACGAAAACCUUGUGGGUUAAUAGCCCAUGAGCUUGACGGUACCGUUAGAGGAAGCACCGGCUAACUCCGUGCCAGCAGCCGCGGUAAUACGGAGGGUGCAAGCGUUGCUCGGAAUUAUUGGGCGUAAAGCGUAAGUAGGUUGUCUCAUUAGUCUAAGGUGAAAUCCCUGAGCUUAACUCAGGAACUGCCUUAGAAACGGUGAGACUAGAGUUCUGGAGAGGGUGGCGGAAUUCCCGGUGUAGCGGUGAAAUGCGUAGAGAUCGGGAGGAACAUCAGAGGCGAAGGCGGCUACCUGGACAGACACUGACACUCAAUUACGAAAGCGUGGGGAUCAAAC
rnacentral:rRNA from 1 species